rnacentral:rRNA from 1 species
AAUGAACGCUGGCGGCAGGCCUAACACAUGCAAGUCGAACGGAUCCUUCGGGAUUAGUGGCGGACGGGCGAGUAACGCGUGGGAACAUACCCUUUGGUACGGAAUAGCCUCGGGAAACUGGGAGUAAUACCGUAUGUGGUCGAGAGACGAAAGAUUUAUCGCCAAAGGAUUGGCCCGCGUUGGAUUAGGUAGUUGGUGGGGUAAUGGCCUACCAAGCCGACGAUCCAUAGCUGGUUUGAGAGGAUGAUCAGCCACACUGGGACUGAGACACGGCCCAGACUCCUACGGGAGGUAGCAGUGGGGAAUCUUAGACAAUGGGGGAAACCCUGAUCUAGCCAUGCCGCGUGAUCGAUGAAGGCCUUAGGGUUGUAAAGAUCUUUCAGGUGGGAAGAUAAUGACUGUACCACCAGAAGAAGCCCCGGCUAACUCCGUGCCAGCCGCCGCGGUAA